rnacentral:rRNA from 1 species
GUGCCUAACACAUGCAAGUCGAACGAAGGCUUCGGCCUUAGUGGCGCACGGAUGCGUAACGCGUGGGAACCUACCCCUUGGGUCGGAAUAACGGUUGGAAACGACUGCUAAUACCGGAUGAUGACGUAAGUGCAAAGAUUUAUCGCCUAGGGAUGAGCCCGCGUAGGAUUAGCUAGGUGGAGUGGCAAAGGCGCACCAUGGAGACGAUCCUUAUCUGGUCGGAGAGGAUGAUCAGCCACACUGGGACUGAGACACGGCCCAGACUCCUACGGGAGGCAGCACUGGGGAAUAUUGAACAAUGGGCGAAAGCCUGAUCCAACAAUGCCGCGUGAAAGAUGAAGGCCUGAGGGAUGCAAAGCUCUUUUACCCGGGAUGAUAAUGACAGUACCGGGAGAAUAAGCUCCGGCUAACUCCGUGCCAACAGCCGCGGUAAUACAGAGGGAGCUAGCGUUAUUCUAAAUUACUGGGCGCAAAGCGCACGUAGGCGGCUUUGUAAGUAACAGAUGAAAGGCUGGUGCUCAACACCAAAACUGCCUUUUAGACUGCAUCGCUUGAAUCCAGGAUAGGUGAGUGGAAUUCCGAGUGUACAGGUGAAAUUCGUAGAUAUACAGAAGAACACCAGUGGCGAAGGCGGCUCACUGGACUGAGAUUGACGCUGAAGAGCGAAAGCGAGGGGAGCAAACAUGAUUAUAUACCCUGGUAGACCACGCCGAAAACGAUGAUAACUAGCUGUCGGGGCUAAUAGAGUUUCGGUGGCGCAGCUAACGCAUUAAGUUAUCCGCCUGGAGAGUGCGGCCGCAAGGUUAAAUCUCAAAUGAAUUGGCGGGGGCCUGCACAAGCGGUGGAGCAUGUGGUUUAAUUAGAAGCAACGCGGAGAACUAUACCAUCGUUAGACAUGUCCGGAGGAUUUGGGGAGACCGAUUUCUUUCGUUCGGGGAGUGGAACACAGGUGAUGCAUGUCUGUAGUCAGCUUGUGUCGUGAGAUGUUGGGUUAAGUCCCGCAACGAGCGCAACCCUCGCCUUUAGUAGCCAUCAUUCAGUUGGGGACUAUAAAGGAACCGCCGGUGAUAAGCGGGAGGAAGGUGGGGAUGAGGUCAAGUCUUCAUGGCCUUUACGCGUGUGGGUUCCACACGUGCUCCAAUGGCGGUGACAGUGGGCAGCAGUCCCGCAAGGGUGAGCUUUCUACAAAAGCCGUCUCAGUUCGGAUUGUUGUCUGCAACUCGAGAGCAUGAAGGCGGAAUCGCUAGUAAUCGCGGAUCAGCAUGUCGCGGUGAAUACGUUCCCAGGCCUUGUACACACCGCCCGUCACACCAUGGGAGUUGGAUUCACCCGAAGUCAGUGCGCUAACCGAAAGGAGGCAGCUGACCACGGUGGGUUCAGCGACU